UAAAAAUAGGCAGCGGGUCCAAAGACUUUCGGCAGGAUUGAGAAUCUCCAGUGACCCAUUCCAGUUCACCUGCUGCUGCUACGGACAGCGACUCAGCUAGCAGCCCGUCUGUGACACUGCAGGAGAAAACCAGAGAGCCAUAAGCAAUGCAAGAAGAAGUGAGACAUGAGCACUGACGUUAAAGAGGAAGGUAAUGAGUCACCUAUAGACAUUAUCGUGCCCAGUGACAGAUGAGCUGGACAGGGAACAUCAAGGUAAACCGAGACAGACCUUUAAAAAGUCCUUGUUUGAAUGUAGAUAUAUUUAUACUGUAAUUCCAUUAUUAUGACUAUAAUACCACUUGUCUAACAUUUGGUGUGAAUUUUCCCCAGGGAACCUGGAAUAAGCUUCAGUCCUCACAACCCUACAAGUCCAGUCCAUGCUGCCCCAACAAGCCUAAUCUUUUCAGCCUAACUCACCUGUCUGAUAUUCAUUCCUCUUUCCUUCGUGUUUCCUUACUGUUAGGUGCCGGCAUAGUCCUUUCCUGUCCAGGUUCCCCCCUGAAAAGGGCCGUUUUCUCCAUGCAGUUUCCCUUCCCUUCCCAGGCUCGUGUCAUGUGAUUUUGUUGGCGGUCCUAACGGAGACCGUUUCAUGGCACUCUGCUCAUCGACGACUUUUAAACGUCCAGUUUCAGCCUAUUCAUUGUUGAUCUCGGUCAUCUUGCCGUCUUUGAGAGCGAGAGCUGUGGUUUAUGAGGUUUAGCUGGUCGCAAGCCUAUAUUUGCACCCCCAGCAUCUACAUAUAUACACACAUACACGUGUGAAUGCCAAGGACAAGAAGAAGACUGCUAAUCUUCACAUUCAGUCAUACGUUAGUCAGUAAUUACUCGCGGCUCACUACAACUAAGAUAAAAGCCAGGACUGAAUAUGUGAGCCCAAAACUGGAAUUGUAAAUACUGACACAGGGGCUCUUACAGCUUCCUCUGCUGCCAUGUUGGGCCGUUCAGGAGAAGUACCCAAAAUCCGAUAACAAAGAUAACAAACAAUUAUAAAGCCAUUCAAAGCACGAAUGAAAAUGCUGCAGAAAGUUUUUAAUGUAAAUGCAUUAACAAACACACUGGACAUUUCCUUUACAGCCAGCUUGUGAGGUUUUGGGGAUGCAUACACAUUUCUGUUACUUGCAUCAUCUGUCUCUCUUGCCUUUGAAUGAGUGCUGUUUUAGUGUAGAUGCACCGUAUACAAGGCAAAUGCAGUUUCUCCUCUUUGUGAACAGCAAGGUCUUCUUUCUGCAUCACAAUCUAAGACAUGGUCGAUGCAUAAUUCUCGUCCAACACCAAUGUCUCAGUUAGACUGCGGAGGCUUCCGUGCUGCUUGGACCCUCUUCGAUUUAUCAGAGCUUGUUACAGUGGAUGGGGGUCAGUAGGUUUGACUUUUCUUUUCGCAAGCGUUUGCGUAUGUCUAGAUACCGUAGACAUGAAUCCGGGAUAGUGUUUGAUGUUCGCAAGGGGACCAAAAAUUCCACAUCCUGCUUUCACUAUGUAUUGUCACGUGAAUCGGUUGUACACGUAACUCAUAAUUUUGUCUGCCUACAGGAUACCAACAAACCGCUUAUUCAAAAAUGCCAGCAUAGAACAUGUGCAAUGCUGGUCUUGCCAAUUUUGACUGAGGGGGCACUGCCCCCCCAUAAACUCCGCCCACUGUAACCAAACUCCGCCCACUAUAACCAAACUCCGCCCACUGUAACCAAACCCCGCCCACCCUAACCAAUCAGAUGCUCAUAAACCUAAAGACCAGCAUAUUUAGAGAGUAAGUUGUUUGCGCAAAUAUGAUUAAUUAGCGCAGGACUAUGAGACUGUCUUUCGGUGGCUGUCUCAGAUUACCAGUUUGAUGGACCUCCCACGAGUUCACCAGAAUCAGAAUUCUUAUCGUCAAGCAACCCAGGCUGGUGGAAAUCUUUGUUGGCAAACUUGCUACUUUUGCAGACACUAUGACAAUAGACCACUAGGUGACCUGGUUUUUGACCCAGCCAUACACUGUAAACUGCGGGUCCCUAUCAAUCACAGCCAGUUGAGUGAAUCACUCACAGACGCAGUGCAACCAUGUUCUAGAGAUGUUUCAGAGACAACAAAAGGAAAUAGGGUGCAUCUGAGUAAAGGGUCUGAAUAUCUAUGUAACGGCAUUUCAGUUUUUGGAAAAAGUCUGGAUAUUGUUCAGUGGCUUGCAGUGUGCCCACAUAAACGUUCUUACAGAGCGGUGCAAAUGUUUAACAGUGACAGUACCUAUAUUUUUACAUUAAACCCCGACAAAAUAAGGACGCUUAUUCUUGUCUUCGGCUCCUUUAUCUUCAUCUUGUCUCUGAAACUGCAGAGUAAUCGCACUCUUCACGUUGGGCUGCCAGUAAGUAAUAAGUAUUAACUAAGAAAUGAGACUCACAGACAAAUGCCACGUACUCCGGUCUCAGAAAAGGAACUUACUGUG